CAAAUGUUUUGUUUGUUUAAUAUUCAUUACAAGCCUAAGAUAACUAUUUUUAAAUCUUAAGUAUUUUUUUUUGGUGAUUAUUCUAGCCAGAACGGGUAUGGAUUCAAAACACAAAUACGACAACAAACUUAGUAACACGUUAUUUCUUAAAAAAUUUAGAAGUGGGGUCAUAAAAAUGAAACAUGUAUUAAAAUAUAUAAACACAUAUCUCUACAUGAAUGAAAUUCAAGGCAAAUAGUUGGGUAGAGGAAAGGUUCCUUUUUCUAGGGUGCCUCGGAAACAGAUUCAGUGGAGACGGGGUGCGUGACUACGAAUCAUGGUGUCGGGGGUUCGAAUCCAUCCUCACUCACAACCGGCUAAAAAUGGUGUGUAUAUGAUCCGACCAGUAUUGAAAUGCUCAAGUGGUGUAAAACACAAACUAAAAGGUUCAUGUUUCUUAGGGAUUAUCGUUAGAUCUGAUUUUAAAAUAAACGAAGUUUUUCCUUUUAAAAUUAUGAUCUUCGCCUUGAUUAAUAUAUCCAGACAUGCUGCAAGCAAGAUGACGUUGAAGAGAAAAGGUGAUGUCUGAAGUUACCCAGCUUCGCAAACGCAGCCAGCAGCUUAUUUCGAGGAGCUACGAACUGGUGUCUAGGGGCUUUGAUAGACUCAUGGAUGCUGAUGAGAGUUUCUCCAACCCAAUGGCGGAUAGCUUUUGAACUUCAUCACUUGAUGUUUGCGCCAGCAGACACUUGACGAGCAAAGGCAACAUGUCAAAAUUGAAUAUCCGUUCUAUGUUGAACUGCUUUCCUUUGCUGAUGCUCGACAGGUCUUUGAUUGCCUCGAGCACCAUUUCAUCUGAACUGGCUAGGGACAGAGCAGCUCGUGCGACUUUGAUUGUUGCUAUCUCAUUACGUUCCUUCCAUUUGUCUAUUGUAGACUUCAGAGCUCUGUUUGAAUUAACAGCUUUGGACACAAGCUUUUGCCCUGUGACUGGGCAGAAAACUUCCUCAGAUUCUUCAAACUCUUCAAACCACUCGACGAUUGCUUUUCUUUCGUAUGUCACUCCCGUUUCAAGGCUAACCGGAUCAUCCAUGAUGUCUUUCGUCAACGGACAGAUGAAGGUCUCGAAAAG